rnacentral:tRNA from 6 species
GGCCCGUUGGUCAAGCGGUUAAGACACUGCCCUUUCACGGCGGUAACACGGGUUCGAAUCCCGUACGGGUCA